rnacentral:tRNA from 1 species
AUUUAUAUAGUUUAUUUAAAAUAUUAAAUUGCAAAUUUAAAGAAGUAAAGUUUUUAAUUAUAAAUU